UACGUAGGGUGCAAGCGUUGUCCGGAAUCAUUGGGCGUAAAGAGCGUGUAGGCGGCUCGAUUAGUCCGCUGUAAAAGUCCAGGGCUCAACCCUGGGAUGCCGGUGGAAACUGUCGGGCUAGAGUCCGGGAGAGGCGAGUGGAAUUCCUGGUGUAGCGGUGAAAUGCGCAGAUAUCAGGAGGAACACCAAUGGCGAAGGCAGCACUCUGGGACGUGACUGACGCUGAGACGCGAAAGCGUGGGGAGCAAACAGG
rnacentral:rRNA from 1 species